UACGUAGGGUGCAAGCGUUGUCCGGAAUUAUUGGGCGUAAAGAGCUUGUAGGCGGUUUGUCGCGUCUGCUGUGAAAUUUCGGGGCUCAACCCGAACUUGCAGUGGGUACGGGCAGACGUAGAGUGUGGUAGGGGAGACUGGAAUUCCUGGUGUAGCGGUGAAAUGCGCAGAUAUCGAGAGGAACACCUGCGGCGAAGGCGGGUUGCUGGGCUGACACGUGACGCUGAUGUGCGAAAGCUAGGGGAGCGAACGGG
rnacentral:rRNA from 1 species